UGUGGCUCAAUGGUAGAGCACCUGCUUAGCAUGUGUGAGGCCCUGGGUUCAAUUCUCAGCA
rnacentral:tRNA from 1 species